rnacentral:rRNA from 1 species
GAUGAACGCUGGCGGCGUGCUUAACACAUGCAAGUCGAACGGAAAGGCCACAGCUUGCUGUGGUACUCGAGUGGCGAACGGGUGAGUAACACGUGGGUGAUCUGCCCUGUACUUCGGGAUAAGCUUGGGAAACUGGGUCUAAUACCGGAUAGGAAUCACAUGUGGGUGUGUGGUUGGAAAGCUUUUGCGGUAUGGGAUGAGCUCGCGGCCUAUCAGCUUGUUGGUGGGGUAAUGGCCUACCAAGGCGUCGACGGGUAGCCGGCCUGAGAGGGUGGACGGCCACAUUGGGACUGAGAUACGGCCCAGACUCCUACGGGAGGCAGCAGUGGGGAAUAUUGCACAAUGGGAGCAAGCCUGAUGCAGCGACGCCGCGUGGGGGAUGACGGCCUUCGGGUUGUAAACUCCUUUCGUCAGGGACGAAGCGAAAGUGACGGUACCUGGAUAAGAAGCACCGGCUAACUACGUG